GGCGUUAUGGUUCAAAUGGUAGAGCGCUUGCCUUGCAUGCAUGAGGCCCUGGGUUCGAUUCCUCAGCACCA
rnacentral:tRNA from 1 species